CCUACGGGAGGCAGCAGUGAGGAAUAUUGGUCAAUGGCCGGAAGGCUGAACCAGCCAUGCCGCGUGAAGGUCAGUGCCCUAUGGGCGUUAAACUUCUUUUGUGCGGGAGCAAUAAUGGUCACGUGUGGCCAGACGAGAGUACCGUACGAAUAAGCAUCGGCUAACUCCGUGCCAGCAGCCGCGGUAAUACGGGGGAUGCAAGCGUUUUCCGGAUUUAUUGGGGUUAAAGGGUGCGUAGGCUGUGAGGUAAGUCAGUGGUGAAAUGCCCCCGCUCAACGGGGUGAAGUGCCAUUGAUACUGCCUUGCUGGAAUGCGGAUGCCGUGGGAGGAAUGUGUGGUGUAGCGGUGAAAUGCAUAGAUAUCACACAGAACACCGAUUGCGAAGGCAUCUCACGAAUCCGCGAUUGACGCUGAUGCACGAAAGCGUGGGUAUCAAACAGGAUUAGAUACCCGUGUAGUC
rnacentral:rRNA from 1 species